CUCCCGAGUUCUUUCUCUCUCUCACGCAUCCCUCCCCCUCUCUCCACAGGAGCACCGAACCCGCCAUGGACAGGGAGCUCACAGCUCGCGCAGCCCGGAUCCGCCUCGUUCGCCCACACCCAACCAGAUCUGUCGUCUUCUGCCUCAGUUUCUUCGCCGCCGUCGUCGUAUUCUGGCUGGCUGCCACCGGACCUGACGCACGCAUCUCGCGUUAAGCCCUGCAUCACGCCGCCAACCUCCGGCCUCGUGCGCCUGCACGGGGCAGACACAACCAAGCCGUGCCUCGUGCGCUUGCACGGAAUGACGGCAUUGUGAGGCUCUGGCUGCUCCAUGGCGACGCGCGGCCGGCCGAGGGAGGUGCUACAGUGAGCUGCCGGCAAGGCUAGCGGCGGCGGAAGCGCAGGGGCUAGAGCGGUUGCUCCUAAAACUUUCCUCUAGCCAACCGUUUUCUAGUGGGAGCUGAAACAAGGCCCCGAACACUGAAGAUAUGAGGUACUAGUAGUUGGGUUCGAGCCCUAUUUUUCUUAUGGUUUGAUAGAAAUAUGUGGGAUCUGUUCGGAUCAGUUUUUUUUUGACACAAGCUGUAAACUGACGGUUAUUAUAAAGGCCGAGGCCUUUUACAGGAUCUCCUAGAGAUGCUCUUAGAUGGUUUAAUCAGUUAUGCUUAUGUUGUGGAAACCAAACUAUUUGACAAUUAUGCAUUUUAAUUUUAUGUCGACUGGUUAAUGAUAUUUUCUGUCUCUAAUGAGCUGUCUUAUGAUUGGUGAAAAUUAUAACUUUU
rnacentral:lncRNA from 1 species